GAUGAAGAACGUAGCGAAAUGCGAUAAGUAAUGUGAAUUGCAGAAUUCAGUGAAUCAUCGAAUCUUUGAACGCACCUUGCGCUCCUCGGUAUUCCGUGGAGCAUGCCUGUUUGAGUGUCAUGAAAUCCUCAAUCCCCUAUCCCUUGUGGAGAGCGGGCUUGGACUUGGAGGCUUGCCGGCCGUGAGGUCGGCUCCUCUCAAACGCAUUAGCUCGGUUCCUUGCGGAUCGGCUCCCGACGUGAUAAUUGUCUACGUCGCGACCGUGAAGCGUUUGGCGAGCUUCCAACCGUCCUUCGGGACAGCUUUCUUGAUCUGACCUCAAAUCAGGUAGGACUACCCGCUGAACUUAAGCAUAUCAAUAAGCGGAGGA
rnacentral:misc_RNA from 1 species